rnacentral:rRNA from 1 species
UACAGAGGUCCCAAGCGUUGUUCGGAUUCACUGGGCGUAAAGGGUGCGUAGGCGGUCGGGUAAGUCUGAUGUGAAAUCUCACAGCUUAACUGUGAAACUGCAUUGGAUACUAUCCGGCUAGAGGAAUGGAGGGGAGACUGGAAUACUUGGUGUAGCAGUGAAAUGCGUAGAUAUCAAGUGGAACACCAGUGGCGAUGGCGAGUCUCUGGACAUUUCCUGACGCUGAGGCACGAAAGCCAGGGGAGCAAACGGG